rnacentral:lncRNA from 1 species
GCUUUAAAGGAAAAUUCACAAGCGCGAUAAAAUAGCUAAUUAAAAGCACAAGAAGACGAGCUACGAAUCCACAAAAAUGGUAAAAGACAGCUAAACUAAAAGCAAAAAAAGAUGAGCUAGGAAUCCACAAAAAUGGGGAAAGACAGCUAAAUUAAAAGCACAAGUAGAUGAGGUAGGAAUCCAAAAAAGGGGGGAAAGACAGCUAAUUUACAAGUGCAAGGAGAUGAGCUAGGAAUCCACAAAAAUGGGGAAAGACAGCUAAAUUUAAAGCAAAAGGAGAUGAGCUAGGAAUCCACAAAAAUGGGGAAAGACAGCUAAAUUUAAAGCUCAAGGAGAUGAGCUAGGAAUCCACAAAAUGGGGAAAGAUAAAACUGAAUGGGCAAGAAGAUCUCAGUCAACAGUACUCUACAAGAAAUAAAGGGUACACUAAAAAAGACCAAAUAAUAAGUGGAACAAGCUCCAGAUUAGUGAGACAAACAAGGGUAUGAGGGAGAUCUGCAGCUGUAAACAGAUCCAAACUUCUUGUAAACUAGAAUUAUGCAAUUCCCUUUAGGAGAAAAAAUCAAGAACAAGAAGAGCAAAUCCUAUCUCCACCACCACCAACCCUUAAAUACACAACAACAUGGGGAAAACGACAAAAUCAAAGCCUUAUCCACAAAUUCAAGAAAGGAAAGCAAAAGAAUCAUGGAAAAAGAACCUAGGAGAGGUAAAAAAACAGACACCUAAACAAGAAUCACAAGAAAACCCUAAAAAGAUACAACCUUUUUUGCCACAUGUAACUUGGGUUUCAUGGAUCUGAGGUAACUCAUGUCCACCUCUCAAAAUAUGAGUCAUUUACUAAAUAAAUUCUCUU